rnacentral:rRNA from 1 species
AUACGGAGGGGGUUAGCGUUGUUCGGAAUUACUGGGCGUAAAGCGUACGGAGGCGGAUUAGUAAGUUAGGGGUGAAAUCCCGAGGCUCAACCUCGGAACUGCCUCUAAAACUGCUAGUCUUGAGUUCGAGAGAGGUGAGUGGAAUUCCUAGUGUAGAGGUGAAAUUCGUAGAUAUUAGGAGGAACACCAGUGGCGAAGGCGGCUCACUGGCUCGAUACUGACGCUGAGGUACGAAAGUGUGGGGAGCAAACAGGAUUAGAAACCCUAGUAGUCC